rnacentral:rRNA from 1 species
CCUACGGGUGGCAGCAGUGGGGAAUAUUGGACAAUGGGCGAAAGCCUGAUCCAGCCAUGCCGCGUGUGUGAAGAAGGCCUUCGGGUUGUAAAGCACUUUCAGUGGGGAAGAAAGCCUUGGGGCUAAUACCCUCGAGGAAGGACAUCACCCACAGAAGAAGCACCGGCUAACUCCGUGCCAGCAGCCGCGGUAAUACGGAGGGUGCGAGCGUUAAUCGGAAUUACUGGGCGUAAAGCGCGCGUAGGCGGUCUGAUAAGCCGGUUGUGAAAGCCCCGGGCUCAACCUGGGAACGGCAUCCGGAACUGUCAGGCUAGAGUGCAGGGGAGGAAGGUAGAAUUCCCGGUGUAGCGGUGAAAUGCGUAGAGAUCGGGAGGAAUACCAGUGGCGAAGGCGGCCUUCUGGACUGACACUGACGCUGAGGUGCGAAAGCGUGGGUAGCAAACAGGAUUAGAUACCCCUGUAGUC